GUUAUAUGGUCAAGCGAAUAAGCGCACACGGUGGAUGCCUUGGCGGUCAGAGGCGAUGAAGGACGUGGCAGCCUGCGAAAAGUAUCGGGGAGCUGGCAACAAGCUUUGAUCCGGUAAUGUCCGAAUGGGGAAACCCACCCGCUUGCGGGUAUCCUGCAGUGAAUACAUAGCUGCUGGAAGCGAACCUGGUGAACUGAAAUAUCUAAGUAACCAGAGGAAAA
rnacentral:rRNA from 1 species